UUCGUAGGGGGCUGUGCGUGUCUGAUGUGAAAUCUCAAGGCUCAACCUUGAAACUGCAUUGGAAACUGUACGGCUAGAGUAUCGGAGAGGUAAGCGGAAUUCCUGGUGUAGCGGUGGAAUGCGUAGAUAUCAGGAAGAACACCGACGGCGAAGGCAGCUUACUGGACGAUAACUGACCCUGAGGAACGAAAGCUAGGGGAGCGAACA
rnacentral:rRNA from 1 species